GUUGAAUGCUUGGCGUGGUAAGGCCGGUAAGAGGCGCGACAACGGUGGCAUACUUUUCCGGGAGGAACUGGGAACAGGCGACUAGAGAAGACCGGCAGAGAUGCCACUUUGCUCACCAUUUGCUUCUGGCACAAGUAAACCGUGUCGGAACAGAAUCCCUGGGGUACGCCACGUUUACGUGUAUCGUGCCUCGAGCAGGAUCUACAUGGAAAUUCACAACUAAAGGAUGCUGCUGUAUGCAUUUAGACGCCUUCAAAAACAUCUGUACAGGCAUUCUCUUCGAUCGAUUCCCCAAACAAAAACAUCUGCACGAUCCUUCAAAUGAAAAUAUUGGAGCAAAUACAAAAAAUGAAAAUAAUGUUAAACUGUCGCCUGAGAAGUAGGAAUCGAACUUCCCCCAAAUUUCUCAGUUUUGCCAUCAUC